UUAACUAAAACCAAAAAGAGGUAUAUCACUGUUAAUGAUGAAAAUUGAAAAUUUCUAGUUAAA
rnacentral:tRNA from 1 species